GAUGAACGCUGGCGGCGUGCCUAAUACAUGCGAGUCGAGCGAACGGACGAGAAGCUUGCUUUUCUGAUGUUAGCGGCGGACGGGUGAGUAACACGUGGAUAACCUACCUAUAAGACUGGGAUAACUUCGGGAAACCGGAGCUAAUACCGGAUAAUAUUUUGAACCGCAUGGUUCAAAAGUGAAAGACGGUCUUGCUGUCACUUAUAGAUGGAUCCGCGCUGCAUUAGCUAGUUGGUAAGGUAACGGCUUACCAAGGCAACGAUGCAUAGCCGACCUGAGAGGGUGAUCGGCCACACUGGAACUGAGACACGGUCCAGACUCCUACGGGAGGCAGCAGUAGGGAAUCUUCCGCAAUGGGCGAAAGCCUGACGGAGCAACGCCGCGUGAGUGAUGAAGGUCUUCGGAUCGUAAAACUCUGUUAUUAGGGAAGAACAUAUGUGUAAGUAACUGUGCACGUCUUGACGGUACCUAAUCAGAAAGCCACGGCUAACUACGUG
rnacentral:rRNA from 1 species